GAUUUGGUCUGUUAUUAUUGUUGCUAAUUAGGUUUCUGCAUUUCUUGUUCUGCUUUUGGGAAAUGAUUUGCUUCAAUUAGGGAUUCAGCUAGUUAUGGUUGUUUUCUAUGUCCUGGUUUAUUGGUUUUUGGCUUUUGAGUUAAUUUUAUUGGGUGUGGGUCAUUUAUGGUGUUGUUGGCGGUGAUGUGAAUAGUGGAUUUCUGGUGUUGUAUAUUUGAUUUAUCAUUGAAUCAGUUUCUUACCUCGUUAA
rnacentral:misc_RNA from 1 species